GACGAACGCUGGCGGCGUGCUUAACACAUGCAAGUCGAACGGAGUGGCGAACGGGUGAGUAACACGUGGGUGAUCUGCCUUGCACUUCGGGAUAAGCUUGGGAAACUGGGUCUAAUACCGGAUAGUGCAAGAUGAGCUCGCGGCAGAUCAGCUUGUUGGUGGGGGAAUGGCCUACCAAGGCGUCGACGGGUAGUCGGCCUGAGAGGGUGUACGGGCACAUUGGGGCUGAGAUACGGCCCAGACUCCGACGGGAGGCAGAAGGGGGGAAGAUUGCACAAUGGGCGGAAGCCAAAUGCAGCGACGCCGCGGAGGGGAGAAAGGCCUUCGGGUUGGAAACUCCUUUCGACAGGGACGCGGUACCUGUAUAAGAAGCACCGGCUAACUACGUGCCAGCAGCCGCGGUAAUUC
rnacentral:rRNA from 1 species